UGCUCCUACAGCCACGGAGCAAAGCACUGGGCUCCAUACAGCUCUGGAGGCAGCCUGGGAAAGCAAGCUCCGCCCAAGGAAAGUGAUGAGCCUGAUCUUUUCCCCCGCCUCCGGGAGCCUGCCUGCCUGUCUGAGCUGUGCAGGGGCCCAGUACCUUCCUUCACGGCUGUGGUGCCCCCUGGGACUGCCUGAGCCAGGUGCCUGCAGGUUGGUGCCACCUGGGGGGGGCACCACCAUUGCUGCAGAGGGAAUCACCCCCCUCACCUGCAGCCCAGGGUCCUCUCUGUCCACCAGCGGCUUGCCCUCCCCUCCCCACCAGAGAGGUAGGUAAGUCAAUGGGGUGUGUGCACGACACAGAGGUUUAAUCGGCCCUAAAUUGAAGCAGAGUUUUUUUUAAAACCCACCAGUUCAAUUUAGGGCCCCCAUUUCAUCUACACACACCCAAAGACACUAACCAUUUCAUAAGGCAGAACUAUGUAUACAGGAUGCUGCAAUAAUACACUGGCGGUAGUUCCUGGAGAUGUUAUACUAACAGAGUUCUAACUCUGUCUGUUUGAACCACCUCCUCUCUACCCCUUUGAGGAGAGUGGGACUUGAGUGGCAUUAGUUUCACAUAGGGUCUUUAUUAGACAAAUGUGAAGACUUAUCAUUGUGCUUGCUUCCCAGACAAAUCAAGGAGUGUCGUAGGGAAGUUCUUUGUGUUCACUUUUUCCUUCACUCUAUGUUUGUACCUAGCAGGUUUUCAUAUCAAAUGAUCCUAAAUCACAGAGCAGGUUGCUACUUUAUCCACAACUAUAGGUUUUUGCAUAGGAUUUAGGUUACAGUUGAUGCAUCUACGUUUUGUGAUCUAAAGUGAUCAGACCAGUGUAUUGUACUACACAUUGGUUUUUAGUGACGUACUACAUAUCUUUAUUGUCUUAUCUUAACGUAAACCACAACUGAACUAUACUAACUUCUCUUAUAAGUGACUUUUCUUGCUGAUUUCUUCUGAAGGACCUGAAGUAAAAUAAAAAUAUGCAUAGUGAAUUUUAAAUAGAUGAGAAGCUAUUCAAAGCUACAGACACACACAUUGAAGUCAUUAUCACUGAAAUCACUGCAGCAAUACAGAAAAAUAGGAACCUGAUUCCAAUGAAAAUGUUGCAUCCUGUGAUUUUAAACUAGUCUCAGCACAGACAUAUUCCAACCACAAAUUUUAGACACAUGGUAGCAAGGAAUCUUAUAUAUUAUUCUAAAACAGAAAAAUAAGCAGACAACUCUUCUUAUCCAAAGAGGAAUCAGUAGGUGCUUUGCAGCUUUCACUCAGAAUUCAGUGCAACAUCAUAUUGUCAGACCUAUAGUUGAAAUAAUUAUGACUUUCGUCAGUUCUGAAAUGCAAAUAAACCUUUUCCAGGUGGCUCCAAUUUCAAAUACACCAAUUUAUUUUCUGUGCAUGAGAACUACAGUGGGAUGGAUAGCUUAGAAAAGAGGGCAUGGUUUGAUAGGAAAUAAAAAGAUGGACAGGAUAUUUAUGCACGAACCCACCUGGUCUCAAAAUUGUUUUAUAAAUCUGACCAAAAUAAGAGACAUACAACAGGUGUACUUCUGAGAACAUAAAAUUAAUAUAUAAAGUUGUUAUAGCGCUGGGAACUUAGCAAAAUGCUGAUGUUAUAUUUUAUUUAUAACAUCAUGUAUUUAUCUGCUAAUGGAAAGGACACAAAACAGUAUUAGCAAGUGUAUCAGAAAGCCCCCUUUUCCUCUUGCCUGCAUUUGCUUUCCCUUCUUUGGAUAUGUUUCUCCUCUUCUACCUUUUCUUCCUUCCUCCCUCUUUCUUUCAUGAUAGGAUAAGGAAUUGUGUGUUAAAGUUUGUAUGUGUGUAUUUUGUAUCUCUCCUUGUAUUUUAGUAUUUUUAUCUAUUUGUGUGCCAUGGCAUUACUCUUGUAGCUUAUAUUUUCUACUUUUCACCUUUUAACUAAAUGUGUUUUAGUUUUAGAACCUACACCCUUUUAGUUUUAGAAGUAAGUUAUACUCUGUAACAAUGUUAACAAGGGCAGGAGUCAAACUGCCGCUUCCCUGUAUCAGGCAGGCCCCUGAAAGAGCGAGUGAAUCAGUGAUUGAAUGCAUAACACAGUAGCAGGCAGCAAUUAACACCUAGGGAAACCGCAGAUCAACCAACGGGAGAAAUCAAUAGGAGACAAUGUAGCAACCGGGAAUUUUCUAAACUACACUGUUCAAGGGCUAGAAGCCCUGAUUUGAGUUAAUCAAUGCCGGGGACAAACUUUUGGGGCUGAAUAUCUCCAGAUCAACCGCUCCCAGAGCCGGAUGCAAAAUUCAUCAACGGACUCCCAAACCUGCACGUACAUGCGGACGACCCCUGGGGUUGACAGUUGCCAUCCAGUAGCCACCAAGGGGGAAGUCCCACGAGGGUCAAUGACCCCUGGAUUGGGCAAACCUGAAAACUGGGGAGUCACUAAAGUCUGCCAAGGACAGAUAAAAAGCAGUGAAAAGUGACCCUCAGUGGCGCCCUCUUGAGCUCCAACUUGACCAGCACCUGACCUGUCCAGCCAGAAGGACCAGUUGGCAACCCCCUUCUGGAGGAUAACACCACGCUGAAAGAAGCCUUGACUGGCCAUUGACGGCAGACUCCAGCGCCUGUGGGAUAGGAAAUGGCAUCUAUACUGCAGUGUGCAGAAAUACCAAAAUGCCCAAAGCAUGAAAAAUUCCUGGAAGUCCACAAAGGAAGCUUACAAAUAAGGACCAGAACUCUUUCAUUGUUACCAAUAAUAUUCAGAAGAACAGGUGAAGGUGAACAAAUCCAGCAGUUGGUCCAGCACAUUAAAAAGUUUUCUGCCCAGCAGAGCUGGAAUCGGGACUAGGAAGUUUGGGGUGCGGUGUGCUGAUGAAAGCAGCAGUUAACCCCUCAAAGCCACCAUGGAGGUCGAUGCUCUACCACUUCUCCAGGAACAAUGGAGCCCCUUGCACUGCAGAAGGACCCAUGCUCUUGAGCAGCUCCCCACAGUGUAGUGAACCUAUGGAGCAGCUCAUAGGACUCUCCAGUGUGGGCCCCCCCUCUCCAGCCCAUUGCUACAGGGCAGGUAUAGGGAUGCAGGCCCCUGGAGCUACCCACUGGGGAGCCCCAAGUCCCAGACUGCCUGGGUAUGGGUAAAGCCUCCCCCAGGAUGGUACCACGUGUAGACUUUACUUUGUAGUUAAUAGUGUUAUAAAAUUAUAUUUAAUGUUUUUGUUGUGGUUUUGUUUUAUUCUCUGUAAUAAAUUUGGGUUUUUAUGUUUAUACUGCUUAUAAUGAGGGGGUUUUGUUUAUGUGGGAUACCCUAGUAAUUCAUUUAGUGUUUCCCAGGUGGUUUGGAUGGGGGCUGGAGCCAAGGUAAGAUAUAUUUAGUGUGCCAAAAUUGAACCUAGCCCUUGUUAUUGCCAACUGGUGCCUGGCAGAAGGGUUACAUAUAUAAAAUAAUAAUACAUGCAUCUUGCUUGAAUCUCUUAGCAAAUGCACAGUUUAGGACAUCAGAUGACUUCUUAAACUAAAACAUGUACAAAACAAAAAAAGGCAAAAAGACUUUGGCUCCCUUCCCCACCCAUUCCAACCCUACUCCUCCAGAAGUGUUCAUUACAAAACUAAACCCAAUUAGAAUCUGCAAGUUGGACGCUUAUGAUCAAAUAGAGCAAGAAAUUUAUCUUUUUCUUGUGUUCAUUCAUUCUGGAUGAUUGACAAAUGCUUGCAUGUGAGUAGGAGAAUGCUUUUCAUGAACAAUGACAUACUUUCUGACCUCACAAUCCUUAUGUUUAAGGGAAUUUACAACCCCCCCUCAAAAGACUGGCCUAGGAACAAAAAUUCAUAACUCUAAAACAACAAGGAUUAAACACAGAAAUUGACUUUAUGGAUUAUUAUAAUCUACUUAGCAAUAUCUCUGCACUCCACUGGUGAUAACAACCUUCUUCCCUCCUCACUGGUCAUCUUAUUCCACUGAUUAGGUUUUCUGUUUCUCCUGUCUUUCAGCUAAUCCUGAUAAUUACUUUUUGUCCAUUUUAUGGUCCUGUUCUUUUUCUUUAAGCAGACUGUAUUUUAUUUACCUAUGUAGCUUUACACAGGUUAUUGUUCUGUUGUUACUUAACUCAAACUACAUCUGCUUCUUUCUCAGACAUGAAGAAGAAUAUAUUGUGAUUAAAUAGCUUAAUGGACAAUCUGCAUGGUUGGGAGAGAGUCUUAGAUAAGAGAGAACCCCCCAAAUACCCUUGUUUCUCACAUUUUCUGGAUCAACAUGGCUACAUCAUCACUCCAACACUAUUGUGAAAUAUAAGUUAAUGUUCCAACAGAAACCAUAACUCACCCAAAUGCCUUGUUCAGUGUUUUAAUAUAUACUUUAGGACAUAUAGACAUUCAUUUAAAUGAUAUAACUUGACCUACAAUGCGGCUAUCAUUUAAUAUGCACACAAAAAUUGGACAGCGGGUCUGAAUUUUGAGGCCCUGUCCCAGAGAUUGCUACAGUCUGCUGUAUUAGGGCAUGUGCAGAUGAAACAGGGGUCCUAAAUUGAAGCAGUGGAUUUUAAAAACAUACUGCUUCAAUUUAGGGCUGAUUAAACCCGUGUUGUGCAGACACCCUGCUGAUUUACCUGCCUUUCUGGUGCGGAUGGGAGAGCGAGUUGCUAGCGGGCAGAGCAGUCCCUGGGCUGCGGUGGGAUGGGGGCGGUGGGCUGGUGCUUCCCUCUGUGGCAGCAGUGGGCCACCCCCAGCUGGCCCCUGCCCACAGGCACCUGGCUUGGGCAGUCCCAGAGGGCACCGCAGCCAUGGAGGGAAGCACUGGGUCCCCGUGCAGCUCAGGCAGGUAGACAGGCUCAGAGGGGUGGGGGAGGGGGAGAUCAGGCUCGCUGCUUUUCUUGGGCAGAGCCUCAUGUGCAAGGCACAGGAGUAAUUCUGGUUAGGAGUCUGAGAAGGGUUAAUGUUAGACAGAGGCUAAAUGUCUUUUAAAUACGAGGGUAGAAUGGAAAAAAAUGGAAUCUAGACUCAAAUUGCUGGAUCUGAUUCAGUCUGCAAAGUUUUGGGAUUUUGUGUCUAUUAACUAACACAAGCAGGUGCACUGGGGUGUUGCCUGCUAGCAGGAAGUUCUAGAUUAAGAAAUGGACAUCCAGCUGAGCUACAUCACACAAAAUACUUACUUUUGCUAAUAACGCAAAACACACUUACAGUACUUUAAUAACCUUUCCAAAGUUCCUCAGUUCUGGUGAUUUCAGCAAACGUACUCCCCCUUUUGGGACUACUGAAUCAUCUGAGAAAAGAAACUGGAGUGUGACUUUUAUUUUGAGAUGGAUCCAACAGGAAAGAGGAGUUUUUUAAAAAUUUAGUGUGGCCAAAAAUGCCAGCCAUCUUAUUAAUUUUUUAAAAAAUCAUGUUUGGACACAUUUACUGCUUUAGCUCAUGAGAUUUUGGUCCUGAUUGGGUCCAUCUACAUGUUCAUUGUGAUUAGUUACUGCACAUUUAGUUUAGUACUUACUGAAUGAAAUACUAAGUAAAUGUGCAGUAAGUACAGUUACUGUGCAGUCGUGCCAGUGCACAGUUUUUUUUAUGAUGGUUACUGCACAGUAGCCUAAUAACACUGCACAGUAGCUUAUUAGCAUGGUUUUUGACUGGCACGCUACUGCACAGUGUUAUUAGGCUACCAUGCAGUAAACAUCUUGUGUAGACACACCCAUUGGAACCAAAAGCAAAUAAUCAACUUGCAAAUAACCACAAAUGAUAGUUGUUGAAUUUUCUCUCUUAAGAUUCAGUCAACUGCUUUAUUAAUGGGGAUACAUUAGGAGUCAGCCAGACUAACUAUCCUUGUUAGUGUCAUAGUGAUAUUAUAGCCACGAUGGUCCAGGAAUUAUGGGAAAGAGGCAGAUUUUCAGAAGCUUGUCUAGCUCUAUCCCAACCAUGUAGAUGGUUAAAUAAAAGAUAUCACCCAAAGAAAUACUUGUCUUUCACAUAGUCUUAUUAGACUCCCUUACAGAAGAGUAAUUCCCAACAGCCUACCUAUUUUCUGUUCUUUCCAUCACUGGUGUGGCAUGUAGGGAGUGGAAUAGGGCAAGGAAUUGACCCAAAGUAUCGUAUAAAGUAAAAUUUCUGACCUAUAGGCUAACAGCUUGAAAAUCACUGCUUGUAAUGAAGGAGUUGACAGGAUAAGCGAGUAGUUGUACAGGAAGGGUAAGUAGGCAGCCCAAGCAAAUUCACACUUACUUUACACCCAGAUGUCAAGCACUGGCCUACAUCCAUGUUCAACCAAUUCAGUGUCAUUUAUUUAUAAAUUCUUUUCUUAGAGUCUGCAUUUUUAUAGCCUAGUUCUUCCUUCCUUGUCUGUACUGAUGUCUGUGGUGGUGGACUGAAACCUGUAGAGAUGCAAUAUAUGGUUUCAGGCUCAUGGCCAAGCAGGAUCACUAUUAUAGUUACUUCCACUCAGAGGUUCAUGUUUCCUGUCUCUAAAGGCAGUCUCCAGAAGAGUAAACUCCCUGCCAUGUGGCACAUCAAGGCAUACAUAGAAACUUAUUGUGACAGCACAGGCAGUAAUAAAUGUUCACUGCACUCUAGAGUAAUACAGUAGUUCCUGCAUCUCCUGUCUUCUAACAUGCAGGCUAAGUCUGAUAAAUAUUUUUAUAUAAAACUUCCUUCUUAGAAUUCAAUAUUUUGGAACCUUUUUGUGCUGUUUACUCCUCAGAAGUUUUUUAUAUUAUGGUAAAAAGUUUCAAAUAUGUAUUAAAGUUCUUUGUUUAUCUGUUGCAUAUAGGACUGUUUGUCAGCGCACAGCAUGAAUUGAAUCAGUCCUGAAAGUUCCUUGUGAAGUGGAAGUCAUUGACAUUUUUCUAACAAAACCCACAAAAAGCGAAUUAAUCUAGUAGUAAGUCAAGUUCUAAUCAGGGCUUUGUUGUGAGGAACAAAGCAAUGCUGUUUCCAGCCAUAGUAUGCUACUGUAUAACUACAUGUUCCCUUAGGGAAAACUUUGGAGAGAGAUUGCUCCAUUGCUAUGUAAUUCUCUCUCUUUGUACUGAAAAACAUUAUCCCUAGAAUCCAUGCCAGGAUAACCAGAAACCUGCCACAAUUAAAUUCUAGCAAAACUAAGAUUAUACUGAUUGUCUUGGUCAGGUACAACAGAAGCAGCAUUUCCCAGGCCUCCUGACUUUCCAUUCUUCUGAGACUGCUUCACAUAGCCAAUUAGGCUAUGACAGCGUUUGUAAAAAAAUGUUCAUGAACAGGAUCUGAUAUACCAAAACUCUGAUCUGAUAGCAAGGGAAAGAAAAAGCUUAUUAAUGUGAGAUGUUGAAAUGCCCAUAAUAGCUGAAUUCUGGGAAUUUUUAAAGUAGAGUAGUAUGUAACAGCUAGUUAUGAUACUUGGUCCUUUCAGCUAAUUGUUAACAUGGCUCACAGUUUACAGCCUAAACACAAAACUUAAGGGCUAGGGACAGAAAUUACACACAAACUGGUCUAAGUGAUCAGAAACUGGUUUAGACCUGUAACAGAACAGUAGCUCAGUGCACAUAAACCAGUUUCAAAAUGGCUGAAACAGGUUUGAGAUAAAUCUGGUUGAAUCAGGUUUAAUUGAUUUGGGUCAAACUGGUUUAUGAAACUUCUGUCCCAGACUCCUUCCUGGUUCAAGUUAAAUCACAGUCCCCCAGCAUCCCAGUAUGCUUUCCAGCCCUGUGCUGUGCUAUGCUUUCUGCCCCAGCUGAAAAGGGUUACUGUUGGCUGUGACUUCAGACUACAAGUCCCAGAGGCAACUGGAAGCAGGAAGAGGAAGUGAUGAGCAAACCUGCAGGUUCCUGCUGUUGGACUACAAAUCCCAGAGUCCUCAGGGCAGCAGGAAGAGGAUCUGCAAGAAGGUUGCACUCUAGCACUGCCUGGCUUCUGGCCUUAGCCACUGCAGGCAUAUGGCUGCAUUUUCUGACUCAAAGUAACUCCAGAGGCAUUGGGAUCAGAAAAAAAGCAAUCAUCAUAACAAGAAUAGUUGUUGCUGUUGAAGGAGAGUAAAACAAAUCUCUAUUCAGUGUUGAACAGUGGUGCUCAAACUUUUGGCUCUACAGGCCAAGUGAGUGGCAUGGGGCUGGUUUGUGGGCUGGGUCCUUCAUGGAGUCAGGGCAUGAGGUUGGGCCCCACACUGCCUUGCCUUGGCCCCACAUUCCUGGAUCAGACUCUGCAACAACUUGGCUCAGCCCCACACAUCUGGAUCAGGUCCCACACUGUCCUAGUCCCACAUGCCUGAUCUAGCAUGUAGGUCUGUGGUAUCUGGACCAGCAGGUUUCUCACAGGUACAUAAAUCUGGCAGUAGUGGAUGAGUAAUUAAUACUGCUACCACUCCCCACCACCAAAUUUUUUGAUCCAUGGGAGCCCAGUGGGCCUAAUGCUGCUACUUCAUAGACUGGAUCUGACCCGUAGGCUGAGAAUUGAGCAAGAUUUCUUUUCCGUGCCAAAACUAUGAAAAUGUUAUGUCUGCGGUAAGAAGUCACCUAAAAAUACCACAAUAACAAUCUUAAACUGGCAAGUUGUCAAAAGUGUCAUUUUAUCAGUGAUUGAACAUUUGGGGGAAGUAAAAAAGAUGUUGAAAUAUUCUCACUAAGUCUUUCUUAAGGAAAUCAAGGGAUUUGCUCCUUUGGUAUUUGGGAUAGAGUUUUGGAAAUAUAACUAUUCUUUCCCCUUUUUAUUGAAACCCUUUCUGUUUUUUUACUGAUGCAAAUCCUUUUUUUUGUCCUAACCUAGUGCUGACAUAUAUCUUGGCCCAACCCAUAUACUCCCCACAGGCUAGAGAGUUCAUAAAUUUUGUCUGGCUCCCCAGAAUUUAAAAAUGUUUACAAGCUUGCAAAAAUAUUAUCAAAUGGUAACAACAGCUGUCAACUUCCUUAACUUCCUUGAGGCACUCAGCAGAUCAAUCCAAAUUACUUUCCAUGGAGUGAUCCUGGGUAAUAGUAAUUUUCUUUUAUAUUCCACAAGAGCAGACGCCGGGUCCAGAUUUUUUAUUUUUCUAUUUGUAUUCCAAAUAACUUGAUGAAGGAAGGCUAGUAAGAAUACCUAAGUUUUGAGCUGGGAGGAUGGGACUUUGAUUACAACAGCAUGCCUGAUAGUCUGGGUCCAAUAUUUAAAAAAAAAAAAAUCUUGUUAAGGUUGGUGGGGGGUCAUUUAAAGAAAAGUUUCCAUAUUUCUGUUACGUGGAAAAAUCAUGUUAUAAUGCAACUGGAUGAACUAUGAACAUAUAGGCCGAAAAUGUCAAUAAAAGUUAGGCUAAAGUGUA